CUAUACAAACAGUUCUGCUGGGCAUGGUUGCUCACCCCUUUAACUCAGCACUUGGGAGGCUGAGGCAGGAGGAU
rnacentral:miRNA from 1 species